rnacentral:rRNA from 1 species
AUUGAACGCUGGCGGCAGGCUUAACACAUGCAAGUCGAGCGGAGUGAUGGUGCUUGCACUAUCACUUAGCGGCGGACGGGUGAGUAAUGCUUAGGAAUCUGCCUAUUAGUGGGGGACAACAUCCCGAGAGGAAUGCUAAUACCGCAUACGUCCUACGGGAGAAAGCAGGGGAUCUUCGGACCUUGCGCUAAUAGAUGAGCCUAAGUCGGAUUAGCUAGUUGGUGGGGUAAAGGCCUACCAAGGCGACGAUCUGGAGCGGGUCUGAGAGGAUGAGCGGCCACAGUGGGACUGGGCAGCGGACCGGGCUCCUACGGGAGGCAGCAGUGGGGAAUAUUGGACAAUGGGGGGAAGCCUGAUCCAGCCAUGCCGGGUGGGUGAAGAAGGCCUUAUGGUUGUAAAGCACUUUAAGCGAGGAGGAGGCUACUGAGACUAAUACUCUUGGAUAGUGGACGUUACUCGCAGAAUAAGCACCGGCUAACUCUGUGCCAGCAGCCGCCGUAA